GCCGGGCACGGUGGCUCACGCCUGCAAUCCCAGCAAUUUGGGAGGCUGAGGCAGGAGGAUCGCAAGUUCAAAGCCAGCCUCAGCAAUGGUGAGGCACUAAGCAACUCAGUAAGACCCUGUCUCUA
rnacentral:sRNA from 1 species